AGCGAACGCUGGCGGCAGGCCUAACACAUGCAAGUCGAACGCCCCUUCGGGGGAGUGGCGGACGGGUGAGUACCGCGUGGGAAUGUGCCCUUUGGUACGGAACAACUGAGGGAAACUUCAGCUAAUACCGUAUGUGCCCUACGGGGGAAAGAUUUAUCGCCAUUGGAGCAGCCCGCGUUGGAUUAGGUAGUUGGUGGGGUAAUGGCCCACCAAGCCGACGAUCCAUAGCUGGUCUGAGAGGAUGAUCAGCCACACUGGGACUGAGACACGGCCCAGACUCCUACGGGAGGCAGCAGUGGGGAAUCUUGCGCAAUGGGCGAAAGCCUGACGCAGCCAUGACGCGUGAAUGAUGAAGGUCUUAGGAUUGUAAAAUUCUUUCACCGGGGAAGAUAAUGACGGUACCCGGAGAAGAAGCCCCGGCUAACUUCGUG
rnacentral:rRNA from 1 species